CCUACGGGAGGCAGCAGUGGGGAAUAUUGCACAAUGGGCGCAAGCCUGAUGCAGCGACGCCGCGUGAGGGAUGACGGCCUUCGGGUUGUAAACCUCUUUCAGUAUGGAACAAGGAUCCUUCUUUUGGGGGGUUUGAGGGUACGUGCAGAAGAAGCGCCGGCUAACUACGUGCCAGCAGCCGCGGUAAUACGUAGGGCGCGAGCGUUGUCCGGAUUUAUUGGGCGUAAAGAGCUCGUAGGCGGUUUGUCGCGUCUGCCGUGAAAUUUCCUGGCUUAACUGGGAGCGUGCGGUGGGUACGGGCAGACUGGAGUGCGGUAGGGGAGACUGGAAUUCCUGGUGUAGCGGUGGAAUGCGCAGAUAUCAGGAGGAACACCGGUGGCGAAGGCGGGUCUCUGGGCCGUUACUGACGCUGAGGAGCGAAAGCAUGGGGAGCGAACAGGAUUAGAUACCCUGGUAGUCCAUGCUGUAAACGUUGGGAACUAGGUGUGGGGUCCAUUUCCACGGAUUCUGCGCCGUAGCUAACGCAUUAAGUUCCCCGCCUGGGGAGUACGGCCGCAAGGCUAAAACUCAAAUGAAUUGACGG
rnacentral:rRNA from 1 species